rnacentral:lncRNA from 1 species
CUUCAUGUCUCUAUCUAGGGACUUCUUUUCCUCUGUACACCUGGCUGUAUUACAGCACCACGGAUACAACCUUAGCAUUCUCUAGAUAGUCCCCUAGAUGCACUGGAGAGGUACCAUGACUGCCACACCCAGUAACCUCCACUUGCCAGAAGAAGCCAGAUUUGGCCAUUGCUCCAAUUCUUUAAAUGGUAGAAAUUAUGAAGACAAGAGACAGACAUGAGACAAGUAGUUUAGGAACAAGGCCUUGAUUCAUGUCCUUGGGCAGCAGCUGAAAAUGGCCUUGGUCCUAUCCCAGCAGGAAGACAGAAGCAUCACUCAUGUUUGGGGUUCUCAUCCCAAGUCUUGGUUACUUUAGGCUUUAGUCUUCACUGCACAGAGGAUGAUGAGAACAGGAGUUAGAAGCUGGUCAAGAUGAGCAAGGAUCCCAGAGCAGCAUUCCCAAGACAUCAGAAGAGUCUGGCUCCUGCUUCUUGGUUAUGCCCUACAGAUGAGCACUUCUGAAUACCCACCUAUGUGAAUGAGACUGAGAGGAGGCUCCCGGACACCUGGUUGGGCAGCUGGGUUGGACAGCUCACCUGCUACCCAUACUUCACCACUUUUUAAAAAAAGCCCCAUUGCAACAGCUCAAGCUUAUUUUCUGGAACCCUUCUUGCUCUCUUUCUCAUUCAAGCUACUACCUAUGAAUCAACGAUAAGCAUCUCUCUAGAACUCACCCUCUGUUCAUUUCACUCUCAAAGACACCGCAGCAAGGUCUACACCUUUACUCCCAACACUGGAGAGGCAAGAGAAGGAAGAUCCCUGUGAGUUCAAGACCAUUCCAAUAUCUAUGAAGAGUCUAGCCUAUUAUGGGAUACAUGGAGUGA